rnacentral:tRNA from 1 species
GCCUGGGUGGCUCAGUCGGUUGAGCUUCCGACUUCGGCUCAGGUCAUGAUCUCACGGUCUGUGAGUUCGAGCCCCGCCUCGGGCU